AGGUACGCGGGAGCAUCCUGGCGACGAGCUGGCGAACGGGUGAGUAAUGCAUGGGAAUCUGCCCAUUAGUGGGGAACAACCAGCCGAAAGGUUGGCUAAUACCGGCAUACGCCCUACGGGGGAAAGCGGGGGAUCGUAAGACCUCGCGCUAAUGGAUGAGCCCAAGUCGGAUUAGCUUGUUGGCGGGGUAACGGCCCACCAAGGCGAAGAUCGGUAGCCGGCCUGAGAGGGCGCACGGCCACACUGGAACUGAAACACGGUCCAGACUCCUACGGGAGGCAGCAGUGGGGAAUUUUUUGCGCAAUGGGGGAAACCCUGACGCAGCAACGCCGCGUGGAGGAUGAAGCCCCUUGGGGCGUAAACUCCUUUCGACCAAGACGAUAAUGACGGUACUGGUGGAAGAAGCACCGGCUAACUCUGUGCCAGCAGGCCGCGGUAA
rnacentral:rRNA from 1 species